AGAGUUUGAUCCUGGCUCAGGAUGAACGCUAGCUACAGGCUUAACACAUGCAAGUCGAGGGGCAGCAUGGUCUUAGCUUGCUAAGGCCGAUGGCGACCGGCGCACGGGUGAGUAACACGUAUCCAACCUGCCGUCUACUCUUGGACAGCCUUCUGAAAGGAAGAUUAAUACAAGAUGGCAUCAUGAGUCCACAUGUUCACAUGAUUAAAGGUAUUCCGGUAGACGAUGGGGAUGCGUUCCAUUAGAUAGUAGGCGGGGUAACGGCCCACCUAGUCUUCGAUGGAUAGGGGUUCUGAGAGGAAGGUCCCCCACAUUGGAACUGAGACACGGUCCAAACUCCUACGGGAGGCAGCAGUGAGGAAUAUUGGUCAAUGGGCGAGAGCCUGAACCAGCCAAGUAGCGUGAAGGAUGACUGCCCUAUGGGUUGUAAACUUCUUUUAUAAAGGAAUAAAGUCGGGUAUGCAUACCCGUUUGCAUGUACUUUAUGAAUAAGGAUCGGCUAACUCCGUGCCAGCAGCCGCGGUAAUACGGAGGAUCCGAGCGUUAUCCGGAUUUAUUGGGUUUAAAGGGAGCGUAGAUGGAUGUUUAAGUCAGUUGUGAAAGUUUGCGGCUCAACCGUAAAAUUGCAGUUGAUACUGGAUAUCUUGAGUGCAGUUGAGGCAGGCGGAAUUCGUGGUGUAGCGGUGAAAUGCUUAGAUAUCACGAAGAACUCCGAUUGCGAAGGCAGCCUGCUAAGCUGCAACUGACAUUGAGGCUCGAAAGUGUGGGUAUCAAACAGGAUUAGAUACCCUGGUAGUCCACACGGUAAACGAUGAAUACUCGCUGUUUGCGAUAUACAGCAAGCGGCCAAGCGAAAGCGUUAAGUAUUCCACCUGGGGAGUACGCCGGCAACGGUGAAACUCAAAGGAAUUGACGGGGGCCCGCACAAGCGGAGGAACAUGUGGUUUAAUUCGAUGAUACGCGAGGAACCUUACCCGGGCUUAAAUUGCAGAUGAAUUACGGUGAAAGCCGUAAGCCGCAAGGCAUCUGUGAAGGUGCUGCAUGGUUGUCGUCAGCUCGUGCCGUGAGGUGUCGGCUUAAGUGCCAUAACGAGCGCAACCCUUGUUGUCAGUUACUAACAGGUUCUGCUGAGGACUCUGACAAGACUGCCAUCGUAAGAUGUGAGGAAGGUGGGGAUGACGUCAAAUCAGCACGGCCCUUACGUCCGGGGCUACACACGUGUUACAAUGGGGGGUACAGAGGGCCGCUACCACGCGAGUGGAUGCCAAUCCCAAAAACCUCUCUCAGUUCGGACUGGAGUCUGCAACCCGACUCCACGAAGCUGGAUUCGCUAGUAAUCGCGCAUCAGCCACGGCGCGGUGAAUACGUUCCCGGGCCUUGUACACACCGCCCGUCAAGCCAUGGGAGCCGGGGGUACCUGAAGUGCGUAACCGCGAGGAGCGCCCUAGGGUAAAACUGGUGACUGGGGCUAAGUCGUAACAAGGUAGCCGUACCGGAAGGUGCGGCUG
rnacentral:rRNA from 1 species